UGAUGACCUGUCAACACACCUCUUUCCGUUGAAUUUCACCAAGAGAUGAGGUCACUGAGAUAUAUGGAACAGAAAAUUAAACAUUGACGGGAAAAUUUUAUUUGUUCCACUCAAGAUAUCUGUCAGUUAUUACACAAGUAGCAUUCUGCCUCCCAAAAAGACUCAUUGGAACAAAGCCUGACUCGAAAAUCGUACGAAUUUUCAACUACGGUUUGCAGAGAUCUUGCGAAACGAAAGUAGAACAAAAAGUACAUAUGUAAGCAAAAAGUAAACAUACACAAUGUUUUAGCCGAAUCUUUUUCGACGCCUACCAUGAAUAAUUUUUUUUGCUCUUAGCUCUAUGUCACGCGUAAGGCUAAAGAAUCACCAAGCAUUAAAAGAAGAGCUUUGAAAUGUAUAAUAAAGAUUGUAAAAUCGAGAAAUUUAGGUUGAAUUGUCAAGAUCAUCAAUAAGUUGGAAAAUUAUGCAAAUUAACCUCAAAGUGCAUUUUCAUGAAUUAUUAAUGUUAAAACAUGGUCGAAAACCAAAAGAAAGCGUGGUUUUGGUGUGCUCUUGUUUUGAAACUAAAACCGCAAGCUUGUGCACGUGGACAACGGAAUACACAUCAAAAGAACAACUUUGAUUGGUCAAGAAACAAUGGCAAUAACACGCGCGCGAACUAUUGUCCUUGAGACAAUAGCAGGACUGACAACGUCUUAGACGCGAGCCAAUCAAAAAAUACAAAAAUAUUGCAACGUAUUAUUUGGCAGAAUAUCAAAAAUAGGUGAAUAUAUUUAUACGCAGUUAAAUAUUUUUUUCGCGGGAACUUUUUUUUGGCGACGUUCAGUGAGUGAAGAGGCAAAAGACAUUCGUUGCGAGAAGACCGACUUCCGAACAUUCGGUCUUGCCAUGAAUUUUGCCCUUCCUUGAGGAAGGUUAACAGUACUUGAAGUAAUUACCAGCGAAGGAGAACUUUCUGCGACCGUCUUUCCUUGUCAAACAAGUUAGCUUCGAAGGCGAAACUUCAAGCAACAAGUUGUUGACUAUUAAAGAAGCGAGCCGCUUGAAGAUCAUUUUAUUUCGCCCUGACCGCUCGGAGAGGAUAUACGUAACUGGUAUGGACCGCGACAAGCCAAGAUCAGCCGGCAGCAAGCCACAAAUAAAUCAACUGGCUUGUCCUUCAUGUGAAUUGAGUCAAGAAAGUAAAGAAUUAUGCCGAGAAAUUGGGAAGGUGUUGGCCAGAAUUGGAGAUAGAAUAAACGCUUUGCAACUGACAAGGAAUGGACACAAUCUUCACAUCAACUGUCGCGAUGGCGAAAGGAUAAACGAUGAUGAUACGAGACCCAGGACGGGGGUGAAUAAACUUCCGUAAAUACCGGAAGGUUUUUAUCUACCAAUUACUUUUAAAAAUUCUAUUUCUACGCCAGAAGAAUUGUACAUAUUAUAUGCAGAUUUUGCUGUAAUCUAGAUGUAACGUACUUCAUUUUGGAAAUGCGUAUAUGUAUAAUAGUUUUUAAGACUCGAGCUGUGAGCUUUGUAAUUUGCAUCGCUGAUUUUACGAAAACAACAGUUCCUGAGACGAAUUGUUUUAAAAGGAAAACCCAAUCUUCAAAACGCAUGUAAAUAGUUUUCACAAUAGCAGUGACAUACAAAUAAAAUCAGCUGAUGAAGAGCAAUA